AUUGAACGCUGGCGGCAUGCUUUACACAUGCAAGUCGAACGGUAACAGGCCGCAAGGUGCUGACGGGUGGCGAACGGGUGAGUAAUGCAUCGGAACGUGCCCAGUCGUGGGGGAUAACGCAGCGAAAGCUGUGCUAAUACCGCAUACGAUCUGUGGAUGAAAGCGGGGGACCUUCGGGCCUCGCGCGAUUGGAGCGGCCGAUGUCAGAUUAGGUAGUUGGUGGGGUAAAGGCUCACCAAGCCGACGAUCUGUAGCUGGUCUGAGAGGACGACCAGACAGACUGGGACUGAGACACGGACCAGACUCCUACGGGAGGCAGCAGUGGGGAAUUUUGGACAAUGGGGCAACCCUGAUCCAGCCAUGCCGCGUGAGUGAAGAAGGCCUUCGGGCUGUAAAGCUCUUUUGUACGGAGCGAAACGGCUUCCACUAAUACUGGGGGCUAAUGACGGUACCGUAAGAAUAAGCACCGGCUAACUACGUGCCAGCAGCCGCCGCCGUAA
rnacentral:rRNA from 1 species